rnacentral:lncRNA from 10 species
CCUGCGUCAGCCUCCCGAGUAGCUGGGACUGCAGGCGCCCGACACGACGCCCAGCUAAUUUUUUGUGUUUUUAGUAGAGACGGGGGUUUCACCGUGUUAGCCAGGAUGGUCUGGAUCUCCUGACCUCGUGAUCCGCCCGCCUCGGCCUCCCAAAGUGCUGGGAUUACAGGCGUGAGCCACCGCGCCCGGCCCCUCAUAAGGGAAAGAGUUGUAGAACUGCAGCUUUUGGCUGUUCUCCAGGACUGGUGGGCAACUGUGGCAAGGUCAGCUUCCCCCAAUAUUUUUCUACUUUGGAUAGGAGGACUACCUCUCAGCAUUUCCUGUAAUGGCAUUGCACACCUGUAUACCCAGUCUUUGGCAAUACACAUUACAGAUACUGGCCAAAAAAGAAUUAGAAAAUCAGUGUCAAAGUUGGAUUGUGGUCCCUGAAGACUUAGAUUAAUGGAAUUCUGCUGGAAACAUAAAGGUUGUUUCCCUGCUGUUCACAUCUGUUGCAUCCUGGGAAAAAAACAAAAAGGAAGAUGUUAUGUGAAGAGCUGAUGUUUGCAUCGCCGACUCUCCCUGAUUUGUGCUGAUGAUAGCUGAAGCUGCAGUCUUGGCAUCUUCUACUGCACAUUGUCAUCAGCAAGGUAAGAAGUGCCUUUUGCCUCCUGCCAUGAUUCUGAGGCCUCCCUCCCCAGCCAUGUGGAACCGUUUAGGCCUAUAAUUUUUACAACUUAUUUGGACACUGCAUAAGAUUCAUUCAUGUGCGCAUGAGUUAUUUGGAAGUGCUUGUCAUUAAAUUAAGU